rnacentral:rRNA from 1 species
UACGAAGGGGGCUAGCGUUGUUCGGAAUUACUGGGCGUAAAGCGCACGUAGGCGGACAUUUAAGUCAGGGGUGAAAGCCUGGAGCUCAACUCCAGAACUGCCCUUGAUACUGGCAAUCUCGAGUCCGGAAGAGGUAAGUGGAACUCCGAGUGUAGAGGUGAAAUUCGUAGAUAUUCGGAAGAACACCAGUGGCGAAGGCGGCUUACUGGUCCGGUACUGACGCUGAGGUGCGAAAGCGUGGGGAGCAAACAGG